GCCUGGGUGGCUCAGUGGUUGAGCAUCUGCCUUUGGCUCAGGGUGUGAUCUUGGGGUCCUGGGAUCAAGUCCCACAUCAGGCA
rfam:Canis lupus familiaris chromosome 7, whole genome shotgun sequence.